GCGGCACCUGAUGCGAAGUUUUCUGAUGGUUACUUGGACUUAGUCGUGAUAAAGGACUGUCCAAAGUUAACGUUGCUAUCAUUGAUGACCGAGUUGAACAAAGGCAGCCAUGUAAAAUCACCACAUGUCUUGUACUUCAAGGUUAAAGCGUUUGUUCUGGAGCCUGGCACACAGUUAGAUGAUGGAUCUAAAGAAGGGAUUAUAGAU
rnacentral:misc_RNA from 1 species